ensembl:lncRNA
CUACAAAGGGUGUGACUGCAGGCCCUCCUUAACUCCUCUUGGAUGCUGCCAGUGGAUGUGAAGGGGACUGACUCCAAUUGCUCGACUUCAAAAUAGCCCUAACGUGGUCUGGCAAGACACAGAGGCGCAAUUCAUAGCGAGCACAUAAUGGCUGCAGAUUGCCCACUUUCUCAGGAUUAGCAAGGAUCUCCUUUCCUUCUCCAGUAUGAUACCUGGAAUUGGGAACCUUACCCAGGACACCCUGUGGUGCUUCAGUCAAGUGAAAGGGACCAUCGACAUUGGAGUCACUGAAGUGACUUUGGGCAAAUCACUUAACUUGUUUCAGCCUCAGGUUCUUCCUCUGAUCCAGAGAGAGUUAUUAAAUUGCCUCUAAAUCCUAUCAGGACCCUCUGUCGUUUUCUUCUCCUGCGGGGUGAUCUUCAGAACCUUCCUAAGACAAUUCAAAUGGAAGUGAUUUAGUUUCCUGCCAUGGCACUGGUAUAUGUCCAGGUUUCAUGGGCUUACAACAAUGAGAUCAGCACAAUAGCUCUGUAGACCUACAGUUCAGUAGUCAGUCUAAUACCUUUCCUUUCCCACGGUUUCCUUCAGAGCCUCCCAAACAUUAAGCUAGCUCUGAAGAUGUAUGUGUCAAUCUCAUCAAUGUGGAUAUCCCCAGAAAGUAUACUGCAGGGGGAAUGAACUUAUCCAGAUACAGAUAAAUAUAGAUAUAAUAUAUUAUAUCCUGAUAUAUAAUAUCUAAUAUAUAUGCUAAAAUAUAAUACUACUUUAAUUUUUAAUAUGGUAAAUAUUGAUAGAUAUAACCUAUGUAAACAGAAGUUCUUUGUGGGAGGAUUCUUUAUUUGUCCUCUGAAGUCAUGCUUGAUCAUUUAGUUCACCAAAGUUCUUACAACUUUCAAAUUUAUUUAUUUUUGCAAUAUUAAUAUUGUUGUAUAAAUCAAUUGUUAUUCUGGCUGUACUCAUUUGACUCUGUACACUUAUUUCAAGACUUUUCAUAUCUCUUUGAAACGGCCAUUUUUCUUCAUUUCUUCAAUUGUGUUCCAUUUGGUUCACAUAACAUGAUUUGUUCGGCUACUCUCCAAUCAAUGGAUACUUCACUCUUUGCUAGUUCUUUGUCAGACCCCAAACAGUUUUAUUGGAUUGUUUGUACAAAACCUUUUAAAUUUUAUGUAUUCAAAAUUGUCUAUUUUAUCUUCUGUGAACCUCUAUCAUUUGUUUGAUCAUGAACUCUUUCCCUAUCCAUGCAAAUGAAAGCUGGUAUCUUCUUUGUUCCUCUUUUUUAUUUAUGAUGUACCCUUUUAAAUCUAAACUUCUAUUUAAACUUUAUCUUGUGUGUGUGGUUGAUCUAGCCCAAUUUCUGCCAUUCUACUGUCUAGUUUUCCUAAUAGCUUUAUCGAAUACUAAGUUCUUGCCCUAGUAUCUGUGAUCUUUGGGUUUAUUGAAUGAUUGGCUUUUAAGUUUACUUACUGCUAUAGGUUAUAUACCUAAUCUAUUCCAAUGAUUAGUAUUUUUAAGCCAGUGUCAUAUUGUUUUGAGAAUCAUUUGCUUUAAAGUAUAAUCAACUGCAAAGUCCCCUUGUUUCCUGCUUCUCCCCCUCCAUUACAGUUAUUCCUACUACAUUGUGGGGUUUAGGGGCACAGAGCUCUCACAGCCUAGUAAAUCUAAGUAAAAAUGUUUGGUCCUUCAUACCAAACAAAAAAAAGUCUAAAUUUUUUCUUUUAUGGUGAAUUUACAAUAUCUUAUUGUAAAAUUUGGGUUGAUAUUACAGAAUACUAUACAUAAAUUUUAUGUAUUUCUGAGUUUCUAAACUUUCUAUGUGUCUUCUACUGACUUUCACAUGUCUUCACAAAACUCCCCUCAAAUUGCACUUAAUUUCUUAUGCUGACCCACAAUACAUCAAAACCCCACUGGGGAAAGUUGUCAUGUGGAUGGAAUAACUAUAUUUCCCUUGAGAUUCCUAACCUUUUGUGCCUCCAGAUGAAUUUUGUUGUUUUAUUUUCUUAAUCCUUUAGUGGUUUGAUUGAUAUGGCACUAAAUAAGUAAAUUAUUAUAUGUAGUAUUGUUACAUUUAUUCUAUUGAUUCAGCCUACCCAUGAACCAUCAAUAAUUUUAACUAUUUUUAACUAAUUUAAACUAUUUUUGUAAACAAAAUUUGUAGUUUUAUUUACAUAAUUCUUAUGUCUAUAUUAGUAGAUAAUAUCACAUGUAUAUUAUACCUUUUGUAGCUACAUUAAAUGGAAUUUCUCUUUCUUUAUCUUCCUAUUGUGUUUAUUGGUAUUAUAUAGAAAUGAUGAUGAUUUGUAUGAAUUUAUUUUAUAUAUCACAUUUCCACUGAAGCUAUUAUUUUAAUUAAUUUUUACUUUACUCUCUAAGGUUCUCUAAGUAUACUAUCUUCAGCAAAAAAGGAAAAAUUUUGGUUUUUUCUAAACCCAUGCCUAUUUCUUCAAUUUUAAAAAUCUGAUUAUUAUAAUUAGCAUUGCUAACAUUAUAUCAAAUAGAAGUUUUGACUGUGGGAAUAUCUGCUUCACUUCUAAAAUUAUUAGAAUGAAUUGAAGUUUAUACUCAUAACAUAUAAUUCUGGGUCUUGAUUUUAAAUACAACAUUAUUUACCAUGUUAAGUAAAAGUCAAUUUAUUUCUGUUUUCUAGUGCUUUAAAGAGAAAAUGAGGGUUUUUUCCCCCAAAACUUUUUCUGUAACUAUUUGAUAUAAUCAUAUGAUUUUUGUUGGUAUUAUUAUGGUUAAUUAUGUUUAUGGUUUUCCUAAUAUUAAAUCAGUUCUGAUAUAAAUCCAAUCUGAUUGUAGUAUAUAAUUUUUGAUAUAUAUUUAUAUAGUAUCUUUACUAACAUUUAAUUUUUUAUAUCAGCAUUAAUUAAGAAUAUUGAUUUAGUUUUUAUUCUUCUAGUUUUACUCUCCAUCAUU